UACGGAGGAUCCAAGCGUUAUCCGGAUUUAUUGGGUUUAAAGGGUGCGUAGGCGGUUUGUUAAGUUAGAGGUGAAAUCCCGGUGCUCAACACCGGAACUGCCUCUGAUACUGGCAGGCUAGAGUAUAGUUGCUGUGGGCGGAAUGUAUGGUGUAGCGGUGAAAUGCUUAGAGAUCAUACAGAACACCGAUUGCGAAGGCAGCUCACAAAGCUAUUACUGACGCUGAGGCACGAAAGCGUGGGGAGCAAACAGG
rnacentral:rRNA from 1 species